GUCUUUUUGAGUAUAAUUUAAAGUCGAACCUGCCCAAUGAUUUUUUAAUGGCCGCGGUACUUUAACCGUGCAAAGGUAGCAUAAUCAUUAGUUUUUUAAUUGUAAACUGGAAUGAAUGGUUUAACGAAAAUUUAACUGUCUCUUAAUAAUAAUAUGAAAUUCAUUUUUAAGUUAAAAAGCUUAAAUUCUAUUAAAAGACGAGAAGACCCUAUAGAGUUUAUAUAAUUUGAUUAAUAAAUUUUUAAUUUUAUUAUUUUUUUUUAUUUUGUUGGGGUGAUAAAGAAAUUUAUUAAACUUUCUUUUUAUUUUAAUAUUAAUUUAUAAAUUAUUGAUCCAUUUUUAAUGAUUAAAAGAUUAAAUUACCUUAGGGAUAACAGCGUUAUUUAUUUUAAGAGUCCUAAUCAAAAAAUAAGUUUGCGACCUCGAUGUUGGAUUAAAAUUUAUUUAUAAUGCAGAAAUUAUAGUUAUUAGGUCUGUUCGACCUUUAAAAUUUUGGUCUGUUCGACCUUUAAAAUUUUUAAUGCAGAAAUUAUAGUUAUUAGGUCUGUUCGACCUUUAAAAUUUUGGUCUGUUCGACCUUUAAAAUUUU
rnacentral:rRNA from 1 species